UACGGGGGGGGCAAGCGUUGUUCGGAAUUACUGGGCGUAAAGGGCUCGUAGGUGGCCAACUAAGUCAUGCGUGAAAUCCCUCGGCUUAACCGGGGAACUGCGUCUGAUACUGGAUGGCUUGAGUUUGGGAGAGGGAUGCGGAAUUCCAGGUGUAGCGGUGAAAUGCGUAGAUAUCUGGAGGAACACCGGUGGCGAAGGCGGCAUCCUGGACCAACACUGACACUGAGGAGCGAAAGCCAGGGGAGCAAACGGG
rnacentral:rRNA from 1 species